GGGGAAUAUUGGACAAUGGGCGCAAGCCUGAUCCAGCCAUACCGCGUGGGUGAAGAAGGCCUUCGGGUUGUAAAGCCCUUUUGUUGGGAAAGAAAUCCAGCUGGCUAAUACCCGGUUGGGAUGACGGUACCCAAAGAAUAAGCACCGGCUAACUUCGUGCCAGCAGCCGCGGUAAUACGAAGGGUGCAAGCGUUACUCGGAAUUACUGGGCGUAAAGCGUGCGUAGGUGGUCGUUUAAGUCCGUUGUGAAAGCCCUGGGCUCAACCUGGGAACUGCAGUGGAUACUGGACGACUAGAGUGUGGUAGAGGGUAGCGGAAUUCCUGGUGUAGCAGUGAAAUGCGUAGAGAUCAGGAGGAACAUCCAUGGCGAAGGCGGCCUGCUGGGCUUUAACUGACGCUGAGGCACGAAAGCAUGGGUAGCAAACA
rnacentral:rRNA from 1 species